UCUGGCUGACUUCUUAUCAAACUAUUGAGAGGCCAAAGGCAACACUGGUGUUUAAUUACAAGCAACAUGGAUUGUGGACUUAAGAAAGCAGCAGUAGCAGGAAGCCUGUAAGCUGUCAACCUCAGAAACAGGAAAGAAUCUUCUACCUAGAAACAGAACCGAUGAUUGAUAUGAAUGUAGGAAACUAAGGUGCUCCUUAAAUUGAUUAGUUGGAAAACCUGGAAGAGGGGAAAAAAGAAAAAGAACCAGAAAUGGGGUCAAAGCAAGAUCAUUACACCUCACAAGUGCUGAGCUUUUUAGUUUGUUUCAGGGCAAAGGACUUGGGGGAAAAAAAGAGAAGAUUAUCAGAUGGCAACUAUGUCUAUAAGCCUGAAGAUCAUUUGAUUGUGCACAUAGGGGAGACAGUUCACAAAGAUUUUUGGUCCGGAGAAGUAACUGCAGUCCUAAACCACAUGAAAGAAAAGGAUCUUCUGGCAUUAUAUCUAGAAAAAGUCAGAAGUGCCUGAAUUUAACCUAAUGUUCCUUGUCAGGAAGCCAGAAUUUACACAUUCCAGAACACUUCUUGCAGUAUGUAUUUUACCCUGAAUGUUUAUGGGCCAGUGAAAUUCUGCACCUGCACAUCUGAGAGGCCUUGAGCCACUCUCAGGUAACAGUAGAUAGGGGUAGAAGUGCUGUGCCAAAAAGACAUGAUGGUAGAGCACUAUCUUACCUUUUUACAAAUAUUUAAAACGUCACAUUGUCUGGGAAGAGAAGCCAAAUUAAACAUUACCUAACCCUACAGUGCUUUAGCAUUGGUCACAGAUGUCCUAGAAGAGAACACGCUGAGGUGCUUCAUGGCCAUAAAGCAAAUGUGUUACUCUUGAUAGUAAAACCACAGCCAGAAGGAGUUCAAACUGGAGUUUUACGUUAAUACACAAGUUAAUGUGAAAUGCAGCUGUGCAACAUUUCUAGAAUACUAGUACCAGAGAGGAUGUUUCAAUGAAGGGGUGACCUCCAAAGGUUUCAAGGGCCAAUGCAUUUAACUAGACGAAAGUGAGUCCAGAAAGAGGAACUGUAAGAGCAAAAUAAACAGUGGUUCUGCAAAUUCAUUCCUUGUAUAUGUCAAAUUACUUGUGCUCUUCAGCAUUUUAGGAGCUUGUGGGGUUUUUUAUUUUUAUAUGUGAUAAGAGAGGCUUGCUUCUGCAUUCUGCUUGAGUGUUACCUUCAAAACAUGAAUGCUGAUUCCCAAACUGCAGUUUCUUUCCUUAAGUGGCAUUGAAAACCAAGAAAGAGCAAAACCAGAAGCAAGAGAGAGUGGAACUCACAUACUGACAAUAUUUGAUCUUGUCUGCCUUUACUGGAUGAUUGUUUGUA